UCCGGGCUUGGGGGAGCUGUGUGCGAACCCAGGCGAUCUGUCUAGGGUACAGACACCUAGGAGAUGCCAUAGCGCGGGCUUUGUCUCCCCCUUGGCCAGGGGUUCCUAAGAAACAAAAGCCAACCCUAGUGUUUCCCAGGGUCCCAGAAGAGGGUCCCCACGGAGGACGCCCUGGACCGAGAAGCAGGCCAGCUUCUUCUCCGGUGCGGGACUUCCCUGCUUCAGUCAGUCCUCCUCCACAACUGCGGAGGCUCAUCUCAGCCACUGGACGCUGUCUGCUAUGGUUGUCUAGCCUCAGCAGGUCUUGCUGCUGUCCGGAUGUAGCUGAUUGUUUAUUCCCGUGAACAUGAGUGUCUCGUGUAACAACAGAAAGCUAUGUCCUUGGCUUCCCUUCCGUCGUCUCCUUCCACCGUGUGCUUCGGGACCUCACAAUCACUGCUUGUGUGCUCAAAGCCCCCUAAAAGCACAAAGAGGCAACAUUGGCUUAUUAAUCAUCUCUUUUUGCUUAUGUCAAAGGCUAUUUCAGAAGAGCAUACUCCUUAGAAUCACUGGCCCUGGGAAUCUCUACUGAAAUCAGAGGAGAAAGCAAAUGCCAGGAUUGUGAGGCUGUCUUAGUCAGCUGCACGCUGCCGGGAUGAACCUCUAAGCCAGACGCAGUUUAUGGGAGGAAGCGAUUUAUCUCAGGCUUACAGACCCAGGGAAAGUUCCAUGAUGGCAGGAGAAGAUGGCCCCUUCCACAGGCCCACGCAGAGAGAAGCACCACCCGCACCACCAGCAAGCCCACCCUAGGAGCCUGAGCAGAGCUCAAGCCCUCGGCAUGCCUUAGGCUGGAGCUCAGACCCACCCCCAGUGCCCCUCCGUCCCUAUCAGGAGUCUGCUUGAUAGGGACAGAAGCUGCAAGCUCCUUUUUAGUAACACCUGAAUCUAUUAGAGGACGUAGAUUCAAAGUACCAUCCUGGUAAGACUCCCCAAACAGUGCCGCCAGCUGCAACAGUCAUUCAAACCAUGAGCCUGUGGGGAACAUUUCGGGUUUAACAGGCAGCCAAGUGUGCAGUGCUUACAGCAGCUGGAGUUUCCUCUGUCUCUUGAAGGAACAAAGGAGAGGGUAAGAGCUGUGACCCAGUGAAAGGGGAGAGUGAGCUAUUUGGCUAUGUGAAUCGGGAUUUGAGGGGUGUUUGUGGUGGCUUGAGUGUAAAUGUUCCCCAUAGUUCCAUGCAUAAUUAAGCUUUCUAUUUACUUCUGGGGGGGGGAGCCUCAGGGUGGUGGAGGAAUGGCGCUAGGGGUGGACCUUGAGGUUGGUUGGUGUCACUUCUGUGUGUCCAGAACCAGUGGGCUCAGGCUGCUCUCUCUCUCUCUCGCUCGCUCUCGCUCUCGCUCUCUCUCUCCUGCUGAUGUAUAGUGCUUUGAUGCCCUAUGCGUUCUCCGUCACGCUUCCUUCCUCCACCAUGAUGAAGUGUACCCGCGAAACUUUACGCCUGAAAUA